GUAGGUGAACCUGCGGAAGGAUCAUUAGUGAAUAUUAGGGUGCUCUUUUCUGCGGAAGCGAUUAGAGGCCUGACCUCCACUAUCCAACUCUGUGCACUAUAGCGAGUAUGUCAACCUUGGGGUUUAUUCCCCAAGUCCUACUUGCAAACCUUUUUUUAACACUAGUCAAAGAAUGUAAACCAAAUCAUAACAAAAAAAAAACUUUCAACAACGGAUCUCUUGGCUCUC
rnacentral:misc_RNA from 1 species